AAGAUUGAGAUCCAAAACCUCCCAAGACAUUUUGGAUUUGUGGAAGACAUCAGUUCCCAGCUCAACAGCUCCACCAGUGAUCUUCCUGACCUCACCAGACAGUUUUUUUGUGUGGUCUGUUUCAAGUCGAUCAUUAGGCUCUGUGAAUGACUGCUGAAUCUACGAGAUCUGUUGGAAAAGAAGACCUGGGGACGCGCAUCGGCAAAUUAUCAACUCACAUUGAUGAGAUCAAGGGUGAAAUCUACCACGCCGUACACGAGAAGUAUGCCAACUACAGACCCACCAGGGACUCCACCCAGGAGCUACACAACAAGGUGCAGACACUGUCCACUGAGAUGCAGACUCUCAGCAA